UGGUAUGUACUGGUGUUAUUGGUUUCUCCUUUCUGAGGAGCCAUGAUGUCAUUAAUUUGGUGUCGUGGGGAAUCAGGACUGUUACUUUGAAAAAAUUAGAGUGUUUAAAGCAGGCACGCGCUUGAAUACAUUAGCAUGGAAUAAUGAAAUAGGACGUUCGAUUCUAUUUUGUUGGUUUCUAGGAUCAACGUAAUGAUUAAUAGGGAUAGUUGGGGGCAUUAGUAUUCAAUUGUCAGAGGUGAAAUUCUUGGAUUUAUUGAAGACUAACUACUGCUAAAGCAUUUGCCAAGGAUGUUUUCAUUAAUCUUUAACGAAAGUUAGGGGAUG
rnacentral:rRNA from 1 species